rnacentral:ncRNA from 1 species
GUAAAUUCUUUGACGAGGAAGAGUAACUGUUUUUAGGUUCAAUACAGAGAGUUGACGUUGGUGAGAGUCAGCAAGAAGGAAAAUAGUGAAUGGGCCUUAGAGAACCGGAUUGAAAUAUUUUUAAAGUAGACUCCGGCGUUUGGUGUACGUUACAACACACAGAAUAUGUUAGUAUUCUUACAGAGAUGUAUUUCUUGUAUAAUUUUACAAGAUAUACGAAUUUAGGUGGCAACGCGAAUUAAUACUUCGUCCUAUAU